GACGAACGCUGGCGGCGUGCUUAACACAUGCAAGUCGAACGGAAAGGCCCUGCUCUUGCGGGGCGCUCGAGUGGCGAACGGGUGAGUAACACGCGAGUAACCUGUCCCUGUCUUUCGGAUAACUUCACGAAACUCGGGCUCAUACCGGAUAUGAUCUCCUGCUGCAUGGUGGGGGUUGGAAAGUUUCGGCGGUUGGGGAUGGACUCGCGGCUUAUCAGCUUGUUGGUGGAGUAGUGGCUUUCCAAGGUUUUGACGGGUAGCCGGCCUGAGAGGGUGACCGGGCACAUUGGGACUGAGAUACGGACCAGACUCCUACGGGAGGCAGCAGUGGAAAGUAUUGCGGAGUAGGCGGGAGCCAGAUGCAACGGCGCCGCGUGCGGGAUGACGGCCUUCGAGGUGUAAACCAAUGUGGCCGGUGACAAGGAGUGAGUGACGGUAAUGGGUAAGAAAGCAACGGCUAACUACGUG
rnacentral:rRNA from 1 species